GAUGAAGAACGCAGCGAAAUGCGAUAAGUAGUGUGAAUUGCAGAAUUCAGUGAAUCAUCGAAUCUUUGAACGCAUAUUGCGCUCUUUGGUAUUCCGGAGAGCAUGCUUGUUUGAGUAUCAGUAAACACCUCAACUUCCAUAUCUUUUUUGACAUGGGAGUUGGACUUGAGUGAUCCCAACGCUUUUCCUCACCGAAAAGUGGCGGGUUACUUGAAAUGCAGGUGCAGCUGGACUUUUCUCUGAGCUAUAAGCAUAUCUAUUUAGUCUGCCUAAAAAACAGAUUAUUACCUUUGCUGCAGCUAACAUAAAGGAGAUUAGUUCUUGUGCUGACUGAUGCAGGAUUCACAAAGACAGGCUUCGGCCGACUUUGUAAACUCGAUCUCAAAUCAAGUAAGACUACCCGCUGAACUUAAGCAUAUCAAUAAGCGGAGGA
rnacentral:misc_RNA from 1 species